rnacentral:misc_RNA from 1 species
GGCAUCCUGGUCGCAAACGGGCGCGUAUUAAAAACAAAAAUCGGCUGGACGCUUUUACCCCAAUAAAAAGUAUAUUCCGUUGGCCGUGAUAUUUUCGAUGCUACGUGUAAUCCGGGAAACAUAAUGGUAAUCCCACGCUAAGCCGACCAAUGAAACAUUACGGUUCGUCCCGACCGGAGUAUAUCGACUGUGUACACGGAAUUUUUCUCCCCGGAGAAAACAAAAAUUUAUAUCUGCUUCCCUCCUUCUUUCUUCUCUGCCGGUAACAAUUUUUGGAAGUAAAGAAAUUCGUCUUUUUGUAAGAUACUAUUUGAAAAAUGUCGACACGAAAGUCGAUAUAAAAGAUGAUCGGCGUAUCUACUCGGUGCUAUCGGCGCUAGACAUCGCGAAUCGCUAUCGAUGGAACAA